rnacentral:rRNA from 1 species
ACGUAGGUGACAAGCGUUGUCCGGAUUUACUGGGCGUAAAGAGCGCGCAGGCGGUCGUUCAAGUCGAGUGUGAAAUCCCCCGGCUCAACUGGGGAGGGUCACUCGAUACUGAUCGACUCGAAGACAGGAGAGGGAAGCGGAAUUCCCGGUGUAGUGGUGAAAUGCGUAGAUAUCGGGAGGAACACCAGUGGCGAAGGCGGCUUCCUGGCCUGUUCUUGACGCUGAGGCGCGAAAGCUAGGGGAGCAAACGGGAUUAGAUACCCCGGUAGUCCUAGCCGUAAACGAUGGACACUAGGUGUUGGUGGUAUCAACCCCGCCAGUGCCGAAGCUAACGCAUUAAGUGUCCCGCCUGGGGAGUACGGCCGCAAGGCUA